GACGAACGCUGGCGGCGUGCUUAACACAUGCAAGUCGAACGGUAAGGCCCCUUCGGGGGUACACGAGUGGCGAACGGGUGAGUAACACGUGAGUAACCUACCCUUGACUCUGGGAUAACAGUCGGAAACAACUGCUAAUACCGGAUAUCAACUCUCGAGGCAUCUUGAGAGUUUGAAAGCUCCGGCGGUCAUGGAUGGACUCGCGGCCUAUCAGCUAGUUGGUGAGGUAAUGGCUCACCAAGGCGACGACGGGUAGCCGGCCUGAGAGGGCGACCGGCCACAUUGGGACUGAGAUACGGCCCAGACUCCUACGGGAGGCAGCAGUGGGGAAUAUUGCACAAUGGGCGCAAGCCUGAUGCAGCAACGCCGCGUGCGGGAAGACGGCCUUCGGGUUGUAAACCGCUUUCAGCAGGGACGAAGCGAAAGUGACGGUACCUGCAGAAGAAGCACCGGCUAACUACGUGCCAGCAGCCGCCGUAACAC
rnacentral:rRNA from 1 species